UCUUUCCCUAAGCAACGAUACAGUUGGGCGGCAAUACAUAGGAAAGAAGCGAUCUUUUUUUCUGCGAGUAGGAAAGAAGCGAUCUCGCCGUGUUGUCAGGUCCUCUGUUACGACCGUCGGUCUUCGGCGCAUCUGCCAGUUGUAGUUCCGUUCCCGGUGUAGACUGCGAUGGUGCCCUGUAGCAUCGUCGACAGCGGCUUACGUCUCCUCUCUCUAUUCCGGCGAAGCUAUCUCCAGCGUUGGUUGGGAACUGGUGGAGGUGGGUGGAGACGCCGUCCAGGUAUUUCAACCAACGAUCCCCACGCCUCUGCUACUCAUCCUUCUACCUUCAGAUUUUCCAUUUUUGAUUCCAGUCAUAUUCGUGUAGUUCGAUUUGAUAGAAGUUGAGGUAUACUGAUUUGAUUUGGUUACGUUAGCAGGGAGCCAUGGCCCAUGGGUGGGAUUGGGUAAGGGUAUGCUGAUUCACGAUCAACGCAGAUCAAUCCGUCCGUGGUAGAUUUGAUAGUUGUAGCACGUCCGUGGCAUCGAGCAGCAGCUACCCCAGUGCAGAUCGAUAUCUGAACCGCCAUCACAGGCAACCAGAAGAUUUACUUUUGUCCGGUACAACCUGAAUCGACGAUUGAGGAGACAAUUCUACAUAAAGGAUCAAGAAACAUUGAUUUGUAAUUCAUUGGGGAAAAUAGGAAUCAGGAAUAAAAAGGUUGUUAUGCUAAGAUGAUUCUUGCUAAUAGUUUGAGAAAGAUACGCACUUCUUGCUGACGUUUGUUUGCAUCUAGCACCUUUCUUCGUAAUAUGAAGCAUGCUUCUAUAUGUACUUAAGUGACAUGGUGAUAAGAGGGACGACGAGAAUCAUUUCCUUCCAAGAUUUUAGCGAGUGUGCUCAUACGAAAAAUAAACCGUACUUUUCCCAAUCAUGUUUUUUUACGGGGUUUUUCCCAAACAUGUUGACUACUGUAUUGCUAACAUUUGAACCCUUCUUUGUGUUACUAGGAUGUGUUAAAUUAAUCGUAGUUUAUA